AUUGAACGCUGGCGGCAGGCCUAACACAUGCAAGUCGAACGGUAACAGGAAGAAGCUUGCUUAUUUGCUGACGAGUGGCGGACGGGUGAGUAAUGUCUGGGAAACUGCCUGAUGGAGGGGGAUAACUACUGGAAACGGUAGCUAAUACCGCAUAACGUCGCAAGACCAAAGAGGGGGACCUUCGGGCCUCUUGCCAUCGGAUGUGCCCAGAUGGGAUUAGCUAGUAGGUGGGGUAACGGCUCACCUAGGCGACGAUCCCUAGCUGGUCUGAGAGGAUGACCAGCCACACUGGAACUGAGACACGGUCCAGACUCCUACGGGAGGCAGCAGUGGGGAAUAUUACACAAUGGGCGCAAGCCUGAUGCAGCCAUGCCGCGUGUAUGAAGAAGGCCUUCGGGUUUUAAAGUACUUUCAGCGGGGAGGAAGGGAGUAAAGUUAAUACCUUUGCUCAUUGACGUUACCCGCAGAAGAAGCACCGGCUAACUCCGUG
rnacentral:rRNA from 1 species